rnacentral:rRNA from 1 species
UACGUAGGGACCAAGCGUUUGUUCGGAUUUACUGGGCGUAAAGGGCGCGUAGGCGGCAAUUCAAGUCACUUGUGAAAUCUCUGAGCUUAACUCAGAACGGUCAAGUGAUACUGCUUUGCUAGAGUGCAGAAGGGGCAACCGGAAUUCUUGGUGUAGCGGUGAAAUGGCGUAGAUAUCAAGAGGAACACCGGAGGUGAAGACGGGUUGCUGGGCUGACACUGACGCUGAGGCGCGAAAGCGUGGGGAGCGAACAGG